rnacentral:rRNA from 1 species
AACGAACGCUGGCGGCAUGCCUAACACAUGCAAGUCGAACGAGACCUUCGGGUCUAGUGGCGCACGGGUGCGUAACGCGUGGGAAUCUGCCCUUGGGUUCGGAAUAACUUCGGGAAACUGAAGCUAAUACCGGAUGAUGACGUAAGUCCAAAGAUUUAUCGCCCAAGGAUGAGCCCGCGUAGGAUUAGCUAGUUGGUGAGGUAAAGGCUCACCAAGGCGACGAUCCUUAGCUGGUCUGAGAGGAUGAUCAGCCACACUGGGACUGAGACACGGCCCAGACUCCCACGGGAGGCAGCAGUGGGGAAUAUUGGACAAUGGGCGAAAGCCUGAUCCAGCAAUGCCGCGUGAGUGAUGAAGGCC